ensembl:lncRNA
GUCCGGCGGCGGCCCCUCAGCGGGCAGGUGCACCCAGCGCAGCCCUGGAUGGGGCGUUUGUGACAGCAGCGCGACCUCCUCGGUGCCCGCCCCCGGGUGCCCGGCCUCCCCUGGCGGAAGUGCCGCGCUCGAGUCCCCGAGUCCCGAGUGCCCGUGGGCGGGCCGGGGUCGCCCAGCUGCCCGGAGGCCGGUGUGGGCGCGGGUGAGCACUGCCAGCGCGGGGAGGGCUCCACCUGCGGCCGCCCCCGAGGUCCCCGGAGGUCCCGCCGGAUCCGCGCUGCUGCCCAAGUGAGCCUCCAGGUCGGUGUGGCCUCGGGGCUCUGGGCCUGCUCACGCUGCCCCACCACUGCUUCAGGGGCUGCGGGGACCCGAGGACGCCUGCUGCGGGAGCUCAGUCCGAAGGAGGUGGAGGAUCCAGUAGCAACAGCAAGCCUCGGGCGCUUCACGGUUAGCUUCUCGGAUGGCAGGAACCGUGACAGCUCUGCAGCCUGGCCUGGGGUCACCCCGGUCCUUCCGCCUUCCCCCAGCUGCCACCUGGUGCUGGACUGCGCUGGCGUCCGCUGGCUGGCGGGUCUGCUGGAGCUCGUGCACUCAGGGCUCCUCCGGCCUCCCCGGGGUGGCUCCACACGCUUGCUUCCACGGGGUCGCCGGCUUCUGACGUGGCUGCUUAAGGUUCCCAAGAGCACAGCCCAUUCUACAGACGUGGAACCUGGGAGAGAAGAGCAUGGAUUCGCUUGUCCAAGGCAGAGCUGGGAUUUCUUUUUAAGGCUUUAUGUUUAUUUGACAAAGAGGAGCAUGAGCAGGGAGAAGGGCAGAGGAAGAAGCUGACUCCCCGAUGAGCAGGGGGCCCCACUCAGGGCUUGGUCCUAGGACCCCGAGCCUAGCACGUGAGGUGAAAGCAGGCCUGAGACCGACUGAGCCACCCAGGCACCCCCGGAACUGAGAUUUGAAACAGGAAGUCUAGCUCCAGAGUCCAGACUGUUAACAAUUGUAGAACACGGGUUCUGACAAAGCUAUUACAGGAGAAGUUCAGGAAACCACAACGGUAAUAGGCCGUUUUGUUUGUGGCUGGGACUACGGGGUGGUGGGGUUCAAGGAAAUGACAUUUAGCCUGAAAACCCAGUAUCUGGAUAGCCUGGGGACUGGGAGAGAAUUUUCUGAGCUUAGGAGGCCGUGGAAAGGCCCUGGGGUGGAAGGCCCUACUUGUCACAGAAGUUAAGUGAUGCCUGGUGAGGCCGGGAGCAAGGGGGCAGGGAGCACACCUUGAGGCUUAACUGUGCUCUAGGAGGAGUUUUUGCUUCUAAUUUAUUGUUUUAUCUUAGAGUAAUUACAGAUUCACAGAAGUUUGCAGAAGUGGUCCAGAGAGGAAUGUCGUAGCUGUUCCUCUGUUUACCCCCGUGGUUUAUUUUGUGCAUCUGAGAUCCGGCGUCAAAACCAAGAUGCUGACAUGAUUCGGUGGCAUGUGGAGCUACGUACCCACCAGCCUAGUCAAGAUACAGGGCAUCCCCAUGUCCACAGAGCACUCCC